UUGUGGAUCUGCAGCCACGGGAGUCCCAGCACCAGGGGAGAGUGAGGAGAGGGAAGCAGGAACAGCCGGAUGUCCUCCCGAUGGUUACCGGAGAGGAUGAGGGUGAGAGGAGCAGUGCAGUGGGUGAUAGAGGCUAUCACUCUGCCAUCAAGAGCGGUGACCUUACGGGGGACCAGGAGUUCCUCCAGGGGGAGCUGAAGUCGCGCUGCCAGUCCGGCGUGAAUGAAGUUAUCGUCCGCCCCGGGGUCAAUAAGGGUUUGGAGCGACGUGGAGCCCUUCCCCCACAGGAGACAGGCAGGAACAGCGUUACGUCUGGGAGAGCUGGGAACAGAGGAGGUGUGGCUCUUCAGGGUGCCGACUGUCACUGAUGCCUGGCCAUUUAACUUAUUCGGGCAGUUGGCCAAAAAGUGACCGGCCUGGCCACAAUUAACACAGAGCUUCAGCUCUAUCCUCCAUCUCCGUUCAUCCGGGUGUAGUUUGGUGCGGCCGAUCUGCAUGGGUUCCCCGGGAGAGGACGCCGGAUCCGGGAAGACUGAGGGCUGCAGAGGAGACCCGCUGACCGCAAUAGAGGAAGGGGAGUCUAUACUAUGUACCGGGGAAUGAGUUUUCUUCUCCCUCCGUCUCUCCCUGAGGCGAUUAUCUAUUCUGAGGGCUAACGCUGUUAGCUCCUCAAGGGAAGAGGGCUCAUCUCGAGCCGCUAGCUCGUCUUUCAAUUGUUCAGAUAGCCCCCGGGUGAAUAUCCCCUUUAAUUCGAGUUCCCCCCACCCACUCUCGGCCGCCACUGUACGGAACUCAAUGGAGUACUCCGCCACUGACCGAGAGCUCUGGGUGAGGGAGAACAACCGUUUGGUAAUUUCAGAACCCUUGACAGGAAAAUCAAAUAUUUUACGAAGCUCCUCAGAAAACCGGGCAUAUGAGGAGAACAUAGGGGAUUCAUGAUCCCAGACGGCCGUAGCCCACUUAGCGGCUUUGCCUCUUAGCAAAUUAAUAGUGUAGGCUAUCUUAGACUGAUCUGAGGGGUAACUAAUGGGCUGUUGGUCGAUGACUAGUGCGCAGCGGAGCAGGAAACCUCUGCAGCCCCCAAUCUCCCCAGCAUGCGGCUCAGGAGGAGGGACAUAGGGCUCUUUGAGGAUAGAGGGUGGUGAAGAGGGGACCGUACUCACAAAGGGGGGAGAUCCUGUUUGCUGCGGUGGAAGCCGAGAGAGUAGUUGCUCCGCCAGCUGCGCCACUUGGACAGAGAGGCCUUGAAAAGAAUGAUUGAGAUCCUGGAGCAUAUCCUCAUGUUGACCCAGCUGAGUACCGAGCUUCUGGAGGGCUUGCUGAACUCUGUCUGGGUCUGCUGGGUCCAUUUUCCUGGCCUGAGUAUUCUGUAGUGUGGUUGGUUCGUUGUGAGGACCCAGAAGCCGACACUGGGACUGAGAUCAACUUAAAGUGAAUUUUAAUGUCCAAACAAGAGGUUGUUAGUGCAAAAGAGGAUGUCCGGUAGGCUGGUUGGCUGGCUGUCGCGUGGGCUGGAGACACUGCAGGAAAAAACCAGAGGAGAUGGAAGUUAUUGUACAUGAAAAGAGUCACGAGGAGCUAAGUUCUGAUAAAAACGAGGUUGGCCAGGAGACGUGUCUUUAACGCUAGGAAGGGUAGUCAAUACUCAGGCCCUGAGGCUGAGGGCUGUAGGCUUCUUAAAGUGCCUUGAUUGGAGAUGUGGAGCAGGUGUGUAGUCUCACUCAGCCUCAGCGCCGGGGGAGGGGAGGAAGCUCUGGAAGAAAGUAAAGCCAGACCAGGCAGACAGGGAAACACAGGAAGUCCAGCCAAAAUAAAACAAGAUGAGGAGGCGUCUCACCACACAGAUAUAGAUCAGAAUAUAUCUAUAUAGAUCUAAAUGUAUGUGCUGACUCAGAUUAUAAGUUGUUGAUGAUUAUUUAUUGCACUAAAAUGUGCCUGACACUGUGGAAACCUGCCGGUGAGGCAUCGGUGAAGUAUACCACUAGACCAACUGCGCUCUGCCUGCGCUUAAAACUAACCAGGUUUGGAUCGGCAAGCUUUCAGCACACUUUAUACGCCACCGGUGAGCAUGAAAAUUUUACUGCGGCAGCUGAUUCUAUUGACACCUCCCCCUGCCACACCGCCAUGCCCAGCUUGGUGGACCUCGGUGCGCCUCAGUCUACGAAAAUACCAAACUGGCUGUAUGCCGGGCUCAGCCAGACAAAAAUACCACUGCACAGGGUCUGCCACCCUCCACCGCCUCACCGGUGGACACGAAAAUAGAGCCCAAGGACUCUAUCUCUCCAGCAGAGGAAGCUGAGGUCUUGCUGGAGUGUUAAAAACACCACCAAAAACAAGCUGCAGGCUGUUAUCAGGGGCCUAUUCUACGAAGCAGGUUCAACCUAGCGAGGUAGCAUUGGAGCUACCUUGCUGAACUUAGCGAGGUAAACGGUCGCUAAACGGUCGCUAAACGGUUGCUAAACGGUCGCUAAACGGUCUUACGGCGCUGGUUAUCAACCUUGUUGGUGGAUCCAGCUUUGCUAUGAGCGCGUGCACGCAUGUAAGGCAGAGCCCGCCACAUCUGACCAAUCGCGAACAUGGACCAGUCUGGAGCGUCAGAGCAGGCCGGAGAGUGAAGGACCACGUACUUUACAAACGAGGAGCAGGAGACGAUCAUGAGAAAGUAUGAAGAAUUCAAAUCUAUCAUACACCUCAAAAGCAACACCGUUUCCGCUGCAAAAGCACGGAAGGAAUGCUGGCAGAAUAUUGCAGACACUCUCAAUGCGUAAGUAUAGUGUGCAAAAAAAUCUUGCCAUUAUCACCCUAAAAUAGCACUGUUCAACAUGCGCUUUUAACAUGCACCAGACAUGACUAAUUCAUUUCCAAGAUGAAUUCAUUUAUUUGUUCAUUCCUAUCGUGUUUACAUUUUUUGUGUGAUAUGUAGGCCAUAUGAGCCUUUCAUAAAGGUGGUCAUCCAGAAAAGUGAAUGGGUCCGUGUGGUCCCUGAAAUCUCUCGCGUGCCGGAGUGCUCCUCAGACAAUGCGAGCACCGAGGUCCAUAGGAUCCUCCAAGAAUGGACAAGCAAUUUUUCGAUAGAACUCAUUGGUCAGUGGGCGGGGUUUUUAUACUCGGUGAGUUCAAUCUGGAACCUAACCUGCCCCAGACCAGUUUAGCCGUUCAGCGUACGUUGCCAUGGAGACUCGCCUCGCUAAGAAGUGAACCCGAGUUGUAGAACAGGAAACCCCGAACUUACCCUCAAAGUUACCUCGCUAAGCAGUAAUCCUGCAUCGUAGAAUAGGCCCCAGGUUCCCAUGAGGCUGUAGUGCAGGCGAGAUGUGACUGGCUGUAGACUCAAUGUGGCGAAUACAGUAACAUCACAAACCUGCGAGUCAACACUGCAGGCCAAUGACAUCAUCCUUGCUCAAUGUGCAGUAAUCUGGCAUCUCCUUGAACAUUAUGCACGCCUCUGAGCAGGUGUUGCAUUAAACGCAGCUCUCAGAGAUACUCCACCAUAGCGAGCAGGGAUUCCUGAGCUGCUUGAAUAAAUAUCUGAAAUAACUGAGACACUUUGGAGAGCGUCUCACUCCUGAGGAAAACAUCUCAGGCUUUAUUCUGAGACAUAUUAGAAAUGAUGGAGACCAAACAGACGCUGAGACAAGUUUUGUUCCUGAGGUCUCUUGAGAUGUUUUCUGACACUGACAGGGACGUCCAUUUAUAGUCAGAGUACCUGUUGAGUGCAACUUUGAACAUGUCUUUCACCUGCUGCAGAGACUUCAAGGAGCUGGUCUGAAGUGUUUCUCACUUUGAAUGAAAGAACAGUUGAAGCAUAGACUGUUCAUUUUUAAUGCCUGGAGUUAUUUCUUAAGUGUGUCUUUGAAGGUUCCCGUGAAACUUGCUCAGUGUUUCUGUUAUAGCAGAGGGAGGCUGCAGUCUAAUUGUAAUGCUUAAUUUAUCCUUAUGAAGUCAAGCUUUGACUGAUCUUCAUUUACAGCUUGUGAGCAGAUGUUGUAAAUGUGGACGGCAGCCUUAGACAGACCAUACCCCAGACGAACCACAAAGAUUUCGCUAUCACACUGAAUAUUUGUCACACUCAUGCAGGCUUUUGACUUUGAAUGGCAGCAACCUUGGCCAGUUCUCUCUUGUAAAAGAGAUUUCUAAUCUCAAUGGGACUAACUGGUUGAAUAAAGGUCAAAAACAAAUAAAAAUAAGUGACACAUUUAUAAUGUUGAACUGACAAGGGCCGUACAGCAGAGUCCAGAGAGGAUGUUUUAACCUGUCCUUUAAUAUUUUACAGCCAAAGAGAAGGACCCAAAAUGGGACCUGUUUUUUCUUUCAGUUUUACAGCUUUAUUUAUUUUAUUUCCUUCACAGCAGGAAAGUCCUGGUUCACCUGUAGCUCUUUAUCAACUCUCUUUUUAAUUCUAUAAAUGUUACUUUACAUGAUGUUACCGUCAUGAAAAUGUCAGGUUGAGUACAAAAGUGCUCCCUGGAUAGUGGUCAGAUAAAAACUGAUGUAUGCUCAUUUCUGUCUGAUGGUGAUGUGACGUUUUCUGAUCUUGUUUUUAAGGGGAAGGGUGAGAAAAAUAAAAUAACUCUUUUCUCAAAAACUCCUCUGGGCUCUGCUAUGGACCAUGGGCUGUGUCAUUAUAAAUUAAAAAAACUGUGAGGGGCCUACAGCUCUCCUGCUCCAUGCUGUCAGUCACUUGUGUGUUUGAGUUUGGUUAGAGGUUGCAGUGAGACUUUUAGAAGAUGACCUCGGUGCAAAAAUUCAGGAAUGAACUACACGAAGACAGAAUCAAGCUGGCAGCCUCUCGCGGGAUUUUAUUCUUGUCACAGCAUCAAAAACAGCUCAUGAACAAUCGAACAGACAGAACCCAGAACAGAAAAACCACAGAUCUCUUAUAGUACUCCUCUGACGUCACUGAUCUCAACUUUUGCCAAAUGUGUGUGCGAAGCUACCUUCGUGUGUGUAUCACUUUCCCGUGGGAGAGCUCCCUACGUGACUUCUCCCUUGCCACUAUCUCUGAAGCCAAUUCCUGUUAUUGCAACACAGUUCACCAUGACCCGAUAAAGUUUAUGUUAUUGCAACACAGUUCACCAUGACCUGAUAAAGUUUAUCCCAACCUGACCUCUCCCACCAUAUCCUGUUUUCUUGCCUCAUAGCAACCUCCAAAACAUCCAACCAUAUCUGUUAUUUUCCCCCACAUAUUCCCCCUUUGAAUCUUUUCAAGAUUAAACGAGUUCAAUGACGCCGUUGGAGAUUCAAGCCUUAGUUACGUUACAUGAAUGAGUUAUGACAACAUUAUGUGAUAUGAUACUACUAGAUUGAUUACAGAUGCAUAUGUAUGUUUUCAAACCAAUCCAACUCAUGCUUGUUAUCACGAAUGUUACAUUUUCAUAAACACAACACUUAAAUCACUUGUGACUUGGUUCACAUCUGGCAGGGGCGAAAACCUGCUGGCUGCUUUGAGCAGGAAAUUCCCCUGCGGCCCCUCCCGCUGGCGACCUUCACCGUGAACCUUCUAAAUCUAACAGCUUUUCACUGACCCACUCUACAUGACAAUCAACCACAUGUUUUAUUUUGCUCAAAAAAUAAUUAACCAUUUCCUUUACCUGUUUCCAUCUACCUGGAAUGAGUAUGUGUAAAUGAUGUGAGUAUGCAGAAUACACAUGGAUAACAACAGAAUAUGUGUGUGGUGAGACGCCUCCUCAUCCUGUGUUAUUUUGGCUGGACUUCCUGUUUUUCCCUGUUUGCCUGGUCUGGCUGUACUCUUUUCCAGAGCUUCCUCCCCUCCCCCGGCGCUGAGGCUGAGUGAGACGACACACCUGCUCCUCAUCUCCAAUCAAGGGACUUUAAGAAGCCUGCAGCCCUCAGUCUCAGCGCCUGAGUAUUGUCUACCCUUCCUAGCGGUACAGACGCAUCUCCUGGCCUUCGUCGUUGGUAUAACGUUCUGAACUUUACUCCUUGUGACUCUUUGCAUGUCCUUUAACUCCUGUCUCCUCUGGUUUCUCCUGCAGUGUCUCCAGCCCACACGACAGCCAGCCAACCAGCCAACCAACCGGACUUCCUUUGUUCCCUUAUCUAUCCCUUUCUGUUUUUGGACAUUAAAUUCGUUUUACGUUGAGCUCUGUCUCAGUGUCUGCUUCUGGGUCCUCACUACAAGCCUGCCUCACAACAGAAUACUCAGGCCAGGAGAAUGGACCCAACAGACCCAGACCGAGUUCAGCUAGCCGUCCAGAAGCUCGGCACGCGGAUUGGCCAACAUGAGGAGAUGCUCCAGAGUCUCCAUCAGUCGCUUCAUGGCCUCUCCAUUCAAAUGUCGCAGCUGGCGGAGCAACUACUCCCUCGGCCUCCACCACAACAACCAGGAUUCCCCCCCUCUGUGAGUACGGUCCCCUCUUCACCUCCUCCACCACCCGCUACCCUCAAAGAGCCCUAUGUCCCUCCUCCUGAGCCGUAUGCUGGGGAGAUUGGGGGCUGCAGAGGUUUCCUGCUCCGUUGCGCCUUAGUAUUUGACCAACAGCCCAUUAGCUACCCCUCAGAUCGAGCUAAGGUCGCUUACACAUCAAUCUGUUAAGAGGUAGGGCCGCUAAGUGGGCUACAGCCGUCUGGGAUAGGGACUCACCUCUGUUCACUUCUUACGCCCGUUUUUCCGAAGAGCUCCGGAGAAUAUUUGAUUUUCCUGUCGAGGGCCCCGAGUGUACCAAACGGCUAUUUUCCCUCACCCAGAGCUCUCGGUCAGUGGCGGAAUACUCCAUUGAGUUCCGUACUGUGGCGGCCGAGAGUGGGUGGGGGGACCUCGAGUUAAAGGGGAUAUUCACUCGGGGUCUCUCUGAACAAUUGAAGGACGAGCUAGCGACUCGUGAUGAGCCCUCCUCCCUGGAGGAGCUAAUAGCGCUAGCUAUUAGAAUUGAUAAUCGCCUCAGGGAGAGACGGAGGGAGAAGAAAAACCAUUCCUUAGUCCCUAGAAUAGACUCCCCUUCCUCUGUUGCGGUCAGCGGGUCUCCUCUGCAGCCCUCAGUCUUCCCGGAUCCGGCGCCAUCUGCAGGUGAACCCAUGCAGAUCGGCCACACUAAGCUUCACCCGGAUGAACGGAGAAGGAGGGUAGAGAAGAGGCUAUGCAUCUAUUGUGGCCAGGCCGGUCACUUUCUAACCAACUGCCCAAACAAGUUAAACGGCCAGGCUCAUCCGUGACUGAGGGCACACUGAUGAGCCAUACCUCCUCCGUUGCCAGCUCUCCCAAACGCAUCCUGGUACCUGCUUGUCUCCUGUGGGGAAAGGAGUCCACUUCCCUCCAAACCCUUAUUGACUCUGGGGCGGAUGAUAACUUCAUUCAUGCUGGACUGGCAGUGCGGCUUCAGCUCCCCCUGGAGGAACUCCCGGCUCCCCGUAAGGUCACCGCUCUCGAUGGCAGAGUUAUAGCCUCCAUCACCCACUGCACAGUUCCUCUCACCCUCAUCCUCUCCGGAAAUCAUCGGGAGGACAUCCGGCGGUUCCUGCUUCCAUCUCCUCACUCUCCCCUGGUGCUGGGACUCCCUUGGCUACAAAUCCACAACCCUCAGAUUAACUGGUCCACAUCUUCAAUCUCCGCCUGGAGCCCUCACUGUCACUCCCAUUGCCUCCGCUCCGCCAAUCCUCACAUCCACCGACAGAGGUCAGCAUCUCCACCGCCAUCUCUCACCUCGGUUCCCCCCGUCUACCAUGACCUAGCAAUGGUAUUCAGUAAGCUGUGUUCCAGACCCUCAUUAAUGAUGUCCUCCGCGACAUGAUUAACAAGUUCGCCUUCGUCUACUUAGAUGAUAUUCUGAUCUUCUCCCGAAACCUGGGGGAACACCAGCAGCACGUCCGACUCAUCCUUCAGCGCCUCCUCGAAAACCGCCUUUUCGUGAAGCCCGAAAAGUGCGAGUUCCACGCCUCCUCCGUCAGUUUCCUUGGUUACAUCAUCGCCCAGGGGGAGCUACGCCCAGACCCAGAAAAAGUCUGCGCUGUCCGUGACUGGCCCACCCCCUCCUCCCGCAAAGACCUCCAGCGAUUCCUCGGCUUCGCUAAUUUUUAUCGACGGUUCAUUAAGAACUACAGUAAGGUCGCAGUUCCCCUCACCCGGCUCACAUCCCUAAAGGUUCCAUUCUCCUGGACCCCCGAAGCAGACGCCACCUUCCAUCACCUCAAAUCCCUCUUCAUCUCCGCCCCGGUGCUCAAACACCCAGAUCCCUCGCUUCAGUUCAUGGUGGAGGUCGACGCUUCGGACUCUGGAGUAGGGGCCAUCCUCUCACAGAGGGACUCUCAGACCCAGAAGCUUCAUCCUUGCGCCUUUUUCUCCCGGAAACUCUCAGCCACGGAACAAAAUUACGACGUGGGAAACCGUGAAUUACUGGCUGUCGUGUGGGCACUGCAGGAAUGGAGACACUGGCUGGAAGGAGCUUCCCAACCGUUUCUAAUCUGGACAGACCACAAGAACCUGCAAUACCUCCGCUCCGCUCGUCGCCUCAACCCCAGGCAAGCCCGCUGGUCCCUUUUUCUCAGCAGAUUCAAUUUCACCCUCUCCUAUCGUCCCGGCUCCCGCAACCUCAAACCAGACGCCCUCUCUCGGAUCCACGCCUUGGAUACUCCGGACCCCAGUGAACCAGACACCAUCCUCCCCGCCUCCUGUGUCGUCGGCUCCGCCACCUGGGAGAUCGAUACCAUCGUGGACCAGGCCCUCCGGAACCACCCAGACCCCGGAACUGGCCCGCCGGACAGAAAGUUCGUCCCUGAGGUCGCACGUUCUCAGGUCCUACAGUGGGGGCACUCCUCCAAGCUCACCUGCCACCCCGGGUUUCAACGUACCCUCCAAUUCCUCCAGCAGCGGUUCUGGUGGCCGGGGAUGGUCCGGGACGUACGGGCGUUUGUUGCUGCCUGCUCUGUCUGUGCCCGAAGCAAAGCCUCCCACCAACCUCCGGCUGGCUUGCUGCGUCCUCUGCCUGUGCCUUCACGCCCCUGGUCCCACAUAGCCUUAGAUUUCGUCACUGGUCUCCCUCCCUCUGAAG